CAGUGCAGUCACCCAUAAAGUAGAAAGCACUACUAACAGCACUGGAGGGUGUAGUGUUUCCUACUUUAUGGAUGAGUGUACUGU
rfam:Myotis brandtii contig163534, whole genome shotgun sequence.